rnacentral:rRNA from 1 species
GUGGGGAAUCUUGCGCAAUGGGCGAAAGCCUGACGCAGCAACGCCGCGUGCGGGAAGAAGGCCUUCGGGUUGUAAACCGCUUUCAGAAGGAACGAAACUGACGGUACUUUCAGAAGAAGGUGCGGCCAACUACGUGCCAGCAGCCGCGGUGACACGUAGGCACCAAGCGUUGUCCGGAUUUAUUGGGCGUAAAGAGCUCGUAGGCGGUUCGGUAAGUCGGGUGUGAAAACUUUGGGCUCAACCCAAAGCGUGCAUUCGAUACUGCCGUGACUAGAGUUCGGUAGGGGAGUGGGGAAUUCCUAGUGUAGCGGUGAAAUGCGCAGAUAUUAGGAGGAACACCGGUGGCGAAGGCGCCACUCUGGGCCGAAACUGACGCUGAGGAGCGAAAGCGUGGGUAGCAAACAGGAUUAGAAACCCCAGUAGUCC